GAUGAACGCUGGCGGCGUGCUUAACACAUGCAAGUCGAACGGUGAAGCAGAGCUUGCUCUGUGGAUCAGUGGCGAACGGGUGAGUAACACGUGAGCAAUCUGCCCCUGACUCUGGGAUAAGCGCUGGAAACGGCGUCUAAUACCGGAUACGAGCUGCGACCGCAUGGUCAGUAGCUGGAAAGAAUUUCGGUCAGGGAUGAGCUCGCGGCCUAUCAGCUUGUUGGUGAGGUAAUGGCUCACCAAGGCGUCGACGGGUAGCCGGCCUGAGAGGGUGACCGGCCACACUGGGACUGAGACACGGCCCAGACUCCUACGGGAGGCAGCAGUGGGGAAUAUUGCACAAUGGGCGAAAGCCUGAUGCAGCAACGCCGCGUGAGGGAUGACGGCCUUCGGGUUGUAAACCUCUUUUAGCAGGGAAGAAGCGAAAGUGACGGUACCUGCAGAAAAAGCGCCGGCUAACUACGUGCCAGCAGCCGCGGUAAUACGUAGGGCGCAAGCGUUAUCCGGAAUUAUUGGGCGUAAAGAGCUCGUAGGCGGUCUGUCGCGUCUGCUGUGAAAACCCGAGGCUCAACCUCGGGCCUGCAGUGGGUACGGGCAGACUAGAGUGCGGUAGGGGAGAUUGGAAUUCCUGGUGUAGCGGUGGAAUGCGCAGAUAUCAGGAGGAACACCGAUGGCGAAGGCAGAUCUCUGGGCCGUAACUGACGCUGAGGAGCGAAAGGGUGGGGAGCAAACAGGCUUAGAUACCCUGGUAGUCCACCCCGUAAACGUUGGGAACUAGUUGUGGGGUCCAUUCCACGGAUUCCGUGACGCAGCUAACGCAUUAAGUUCCCCGCCUGGGGAGUACGGCCGCAAGGCUAAAACUCAAAGGAAUUGACGGGGACCCGCACAAGCGGCGGAGCAUGCGGAUUAAUUCGAUGCAACGCGAAGAACCUUACCAAGGCUUGACAUAUAGAGGAAACGUCUGGAAACAGUCGCCCCGCAAGGUCUCUAUACAGGUGGUGCAUGGUUGUCGUCAGCUCGUGUCGUGAGAUGUUGGGUUAAGUCCCGCAACGAGCGCAACCCUCGUUCUAUGUUGCCAGCACGUAAUGGUGGGAACUCAUGGGAUACUGCCGGGGUCAACUCGGAGGAAGGUGGGGAUGACGUCAAAUCAUCAUGCCCCUUAUGUCUUGGGCUUCACGCAUGCUACAAUGGCCGGUACAAAGGGCUGCAAUACCGUGAGGUGGAGCGAAUCCCAAAAAGCCGGUCCCAGUUCGGAUUGAGGUCUGCAACUCGACCUCAUGAAGUCGGAGUCGCUAGUAAUCGCAGAUCAGCAACGCUGCGGUGAAUACGUUCCCGGGUCUUGUACACACCGCCCGUCAAGUCAUGAAAGUCGGUAACACCUGAAGCCGGUGGCCCAACCCUUGUGGAGGGAGCCGUCGAAGGUGGGAUCGGUAAUUAGGACUAAGUCGUAACAAGGUAGCCGUACCG
rnacentral:rRNA from 1 species